GACGAACGCUGGCGGCGUGCCUAAUACAUGCAAGUCGAGCGGACAGAAGGGAGCUUGCUCCCGGAAGUUAGCGGCGGACGGGUGAGUAACACGUGGGCAACCUACCCUGUAGAUCGGGAUAACAUCGAGAAAUCGGUGCUAAUACCGGAUAAUCAUUUGAAGUGCAUGCUUCGAAUGUAAAAGAUGGCUCCGGCUAUCACUACGGGAUGGGCCCGCGGCGCAUUAGCUGGUUGGUAAGGUAAUGGCUUACCAAGGAAACGAUGCGUAGCCGACCUGAGAGGGUGAUCGGCCACACUGGGACUUAGACACGGCCCAGACUCCUACGGGAGGCAGCAGUAGGGAAUCUUCCGCAAGGGACGAAAGUCUGACGGAGCAACGCCGCGUGAGUGAUGAAGGUUUUCGGAUCGUAAAGCUCUGUUGUUAGGGAAGAACAAGUGCCGUUUGAAUAAGGCGGCACCUUGACGGUACCUAACCAGAAAGCCACGGCUAACUACGUGCCAGCCGCCGCGGUAAAAC
rnacentral:rRNA from 1 species